rnacentral:rRNA from 1 species
AAGUCGUAACAAGGUUUCCGUAGGUGAACCUGCGGAAGGAUCAUUAUUGAAAUACAAACUUGGUAGACUGUUGCUGGCUUUUCUUAGCAUGUGCACGUUUAUCAUCUUUCUAAUCCACCUGUGCACUUUUUGUAGGCAUUUGAUCUUGGGGACUGCUGUGUUUAAGCUCAAUGGUUUAUCAGCUUUCCCUUUUAUUUUUCAAACCUAUGUUUUUUCUCUUUGUAUACACACCAGAAAUAUAAUGGAAUGCUGUAUGUUAGGUCAUUUUAUGACUACAAUAAAACCAGUACAACUUUCAGCAACGGAUCUCUUGGCUCUCGCAUCGAUGAAGAACGCAGCGAAAUGCGAUAAGUAAUGUGAAUUGCAGAAUUCAGUGAAUCAUCGAAUCUUUGAACGCACCUUGCGCUCCUUGGUAUUCCGAGGAGCAUGCCUGUUUGAGUAUCAUUAAACUGUCAACUGUUCCACUUUUCAGUGGUUUACAGAUUGGAUAUGGGAGUUUUUGCAGGCUUAGUUUGUCAGCUCUCCUGAAACACAUUAGCAGUGCCUUUGUUGGUUCUUAGGUGUGAUAAUCUAUCUAUGCCUUGAUGUGUGCCUUCAUAUAGAGGAUUGUGCUGCUUCCAAUAGUCUUUGGACAACAUUUAUUGAAUAUUUUAUCUCAAAUCAGGCAGGACUACCCGCUGAACUUAAGCAUAUCAAUAAGCGGAGGA